AUACGGAGGGUGCAAGCGUUAAUCGGAAUUACUGGGCGUAAAGGGCGCGUAGGCGGUUUGAUAAGUCGGAUGUGAAAUCCCCGAGCUUAACUUGGGAAUUGCAUUCGAUACUGGUUAGCGAGAGUGUGGGAGAGGAUGGUAGAAUUCCAGGUGUAGCGGUGAAAUGCGUAGAGAUCUGGAGGAAUACCGAUGGCGAAGGCAGCCAUCUGGCCUAACACUGACGCUGAGGUGCGAAAGCAUGGGGAGCAAACAGGAUUAGAUACCCGCGUAGUCC
rnacentral:rRNA from 1 species